AACGAACGCUGGCGGCAUGCCUAACACAUGCAAGUCGAACGAGACCUUCGGGUCUAGUGGCGCACGGGUGCGUAACGCGUGGGAACCUGCCCUUAGGUUCGGAAUAACUCCCCGAAAGGGGUGCUAAUACCGGAUAAUGUCUUCGGACCAAAGAUUUAUCGCCUUUGGAUGGGCCCGCGUUGGAUUAGCUAGUUGGUAGGGUAAAAGCCUACCAAGGCGACGAUCCAUAGCUGGUAUGAGAGGAUGAUCAGCCACACUGGGACUGAGACACGGCCCAGACUCUGACGGGAGGGAGCAGUGGGGAAUAAGGGACAAUGGGCGAAAGCCUGAUCCAGCAAGGCCGCGUGAGUGAUGAAGGCCGUAGGGUUGUAAAGCUCUUUUACCCGGGAUGAUAAGGACAGUACCGGGAGAAUAAGCUCCGGCAAACUCCGG
rnacentral:rRNA from 1 species